GACGAACGCUGGCGGCGUGCUUAACACAUGCAAGUCGAACGGAAAGGCCCUGCUUUUGUGGGGUGCUCGAGUGGCGAACGGGUGAGUAACACGUGAGUAACCUGCCCUUGACUUUGGGAUAACUUCAGGAAACUGGGGCUAAUACCGGAUAGGAGCUCCUGCUGCAUGGUGGGGGUUGGAAAGUUUCGGCGGUUGGGGAUGGACUCGCGGCUUAUCAGCUUGUUGGUGGGGUAGUGGCUUACCAAGGCUUUGACGGGUAGCCGGCCUGAGAGGGUGACCGGCCACAUUGGGACUGAGAUACGGCCCAGACUCCUACGGGAGGCAACAGUGGGGAAUAUUGCACAAUGGGCGGAAGCCUGAUGCAGCAACGCCGCGUGCGGGAUGACGGCCUUCGGGUUGUAAACCGCUUUCGCCUGUGACGAAGCGUGAGUGACGGUAAUGGGUAAAGAAGCACCGGCUAACUACGUGCCAGCAGCCGCGGUGAUACGUAGGGUGCGAGCGUUGUCCGGAUUUAUUGGGCGUAAAGGGCUCGUAGGUGGUUGAUCGCGUCGGAAGUGUAAUCUUGGGGCUUAACCCUGAGCGUGCUUUCGAUACGGGUUGACUUGAGGAAGGUAGGGGAGAAUGGAAUUCCUGGUGGAGCGGUGGAAUGCGCAGAUAUCAGGAGGAACACCAGUGGCGAAGGCGGUUCUCUGGGCCUUUCCUGACGCUGAGGAGCGAAAGCGUGGGGAGCGAACAGGCUUAGAUACCCCGGUAGUCCACGCUGUAAACGGUGGGUACUAGGUGUGGGGUCCAUUCCACGGGUUCCGUGCCGUAGCUAACGCUUUAAGUACCCCGCCUGGGGAGUACGGCCGCAAGGCUAAAACUCAAAGGAAUUGACGGGGCCCCGCACAAGCGGCGGAGCAUGCGGAUUAAUUCGAUGCAACGCGUAGAACCUUACCUGGGUUUGACAUGGAUCGGGAGUGCUCAGAGAUGGGUGUGCCUCUUUUGGGGUCGGUUCACAGGUGGUGCAUGGCUGUCGUCAGCUCGUGUCGUGAGAUGUUGGGUUAAGUCCCGCAACGAACGCAACCCUUGUUCACUGUUGCCAGCACGUUAUGGUGGGGACUCAGUGGAGACCGCCGGGGUCAACUCGGAGGAAGGUGGGGAUGACGUCAAGUCAUCAUGCCCCUUAUGUCCAGGGCUUCACGCAUGCUACAAUGGCUGGUACAGAGAGUGGCGAGCCUGUGAGGGUGAGCGAAUCUCGGAAAGCCGGUCUCAGUUCGGAUUGGGGUCUGCAACUCGACCUCAUGAAGUCGGAGUCGCUAGUAAUCGCAGAUCAGCAACGCUGCGGUGAAUACGUUCCCGGG
rnacentral:rRNA from 1 species